GUCCUGUCAACUUUUUUAGCACGUGUCAAAAACUCAAAGAAAAAGACGAUGACUUUGAAGUCUACAAGUCAUAUUUCUGUGAACGAGUGAACUGGCAACAUGUCGAGCCCGUAAGUAACUAGGUUUUUCCUAUAGAAAUUAAGCAAGUCACAGUAAAAUCUUGAACCCAGAACAACAACAACAACAACAGCAGCUGGAUCAAUUGGUUCCUCGGAAUCAAGAGCAACGAAUUCCUCUGCCACGUGCCCACCAACUACUUUCAGGACACGUUCAACCAGAUGGGCCUGGAGUACAUCAGCCAUACACUGGACGUGACCCUGAAGCCGGUGUUCGACAGUUCUUCGGGCUUGUUCUACGACGAUGAGAAAAAGUUGUACGGCAUGAUUCACGCCCGAUACAAAGUAUAUGAGAGGAGACUUUGAAUCGUGUCCGAAUAUCUCCUGUAAUAGGAAGAACACCCUGCCAGUGGCCUCAGCGAUGUGUGGGGCAAGUCAACGGUGAAGAUCUACUGCCCACGCUGUAAAAACUACUUCCAUCCUAAAACUGAUACACAGCCAUGUUCGGGCCCAGCUGUCCGGACAUCUUAACGCAGCUGCCGAACUUGAGACCGCCCCUGGACGACUCACGGUAAGAAAUUCUCCGAAUAUAGUCCUGGUUGUUUUCUAACCAAAGCGCUUAACUUCCCUAUGCUUUCGGUUGCACCAGAAGGCCUUGAUGCCACUUAAAUCGCCCAAGUCGUCACCAAAGAAUAUCGGAUCCUCGGCCAGCUAGUCCUCCUCCUCGCUCCGGCAUUCCGAAGUCAAGCGCUUCAAUGUUCUUCUAGGGAUGACGUGAUUUUUUAACUCCACACAAAAGAAAGCAGAAAUGUUUGUCCGAUAUAUUGUUGUUGCAAUUAAACAGAUUCCGCAGUGCGUUGAUAUGGCCAGCUACCACCUACUAAUACACCUCAUACACCUCUGCCCUAAAUACUUGGUUCAAAGUGUUCGGUCCAAGCUGGUCAUAUCAAGCACUCAUUCGAGUAGGAAAGCAUACUUUUCGUUAAUAGUGGUAAUCACCUG
ensembl:ncRNA Su(Ste):CR40820 Suppressor of Stellate:CR40820